rnacentral:misc_RNA from 1 species
UCUCCGUUGGUGAACCAGCGGAGGGAUCAUUACCGAGUACUACUCUAAACCCUUUGUGAACCUUACCAAUUGUUGCUCGGCGUGCAGCGGGUGGCCUAACCGCCUCCGCGACGCGUCAGAGGACCCAAAUUCUUAUUUUACAGCGUAUCUUCUGAUUAAAAAGACAAACAGUCAAAACUUUCAACAACGGAUCUCUUGGUUCUG